rnacentral:rRNA from 1 species
UACAGAGGCCUCGAGCGUUAGGCGGAAUCACUGGGCUUAAAGCGUGUGUAGGUGGAUGCCUAAGUACCUUGUGAAAUCCCACGGCUUAACCGUGGAACUGCUGGGUAUACUGGGCGUCUUGAGCCACUCAGGGGCUACCGGAACAAGCGGUGGAGCGGUGAAAUGCGUAGAUAUCGGGAGAAAUACCGAUGGCGAAGGCGGGUCUCUGGACAGUUCCUGACACUGAGACACGAAGGCCAGGGGAGCAAACGGG